AUGGAAGGCUGUCCAUUGCUUUCUCCUCCCUUCCUUUUCCCAUCUCCUUUCCCUCACCCCCUCACCUAUCAACUGCUUUUCUUCCUGAUCCAUUUCAGCUUCCUCUCUCCUCAAUAUUUUAAAAGAAAAUGUAAACCAAACAAAAUGUAUAGUUGCGCAGAAAUUCCACUGAAGAAAAUGGGAUUUUACCAUCAACAACAGUGCUUUUUUCCUGCCCAAAUUGGAGGUGACAAUGCCACCCUCAUCUUCUGUUGGUGCCGUCUUCAGUCAGUAUGGGCUUUGCAGGGCAGCCUGAUAUUACACAGAAAGGGUUGCCAUGUGUGCCUGUUCUGUGAACCAGUAAUCACACUCUCAAGAACGUGCUCAGCAAUUCAAUAGAAGACCAGAAAAAGUCAUACACAUGCCAGUAUCCUUUGUAGCAUCAUCCGUAACAACAAAAAGUAAGAAACCAUGUAAGUAUUCAAUAAUACUCUAAUGCAUGAGCAAAGUAACCCAAUGGGAUACUAUGUGUCCAUUAAAAAUACUUAGUAUAAACACCAUGUGGAAGCAUGAAAAAUUCUAUAUUUUUAUAUAAAAAGAGCAGAACACAAAAUCCUAUUACCUGCUUAUUACAAUUAUAUGAAUCCAGAUUGGAAGAGAAUACACAAAAAAUAAGACUAGUUCCUCUCUCUUACAUUAGAGUGGUGAAAAUACAGACUUCUUUUCAAAAAAAAUCUUUUAACACCAUUAUAUUGCUUUUACUAGUAUGUGUGUAAAUAAUAUCAAUAAAAGAUAUUGUUGGGAAGUCCACCAUGAGUUGAUCAUAAUACUUCACCUACCAACCCACAAGGCAUUUCUUUUUCUGUAUUUGUUGUUAUGAUGUUUCUCCAUCCUUCCUAUUCUACCUGUCCUAAGAUCGACAGAAGGGCAGGAAGCAUUCUUUAUUUAAUUCUAGCCAUCCUGUGUUAUAUUGGACAGACCUGCUACAGAGCUUCCAUAUCAUGGUCCCAUAUUACCUGAUGCCUGUAUCCCCCAUCAUGCCCUAAAUGGCAUCUGCAGCAGCAGGACAAAUCUCCUACCAUUCCAAUGGCCACCACGCUCAUCCCUGGCCCCUGCCUCCAUCUCUUCUUGUGAGCACCUAAAAUACCUACUCGCUUCUCCUCCAUCUCCAAAUCCUGCCCACCCUCUGAGUCCAUAAGACUUUUCCUGACCUUCUUAGCCCUUGGUGAUCUCUUCAAACUUCAAAGUCCUACAACACAUCAUCUUCUCUAUAUGAUCCAUGUGAGGUUCUAGGACUUCACAUUAUCUGUCCAACUCUACUGUAAAACCCUUGAGGGUAGGAACUGUGUCUAUGCUUGACCUUCAAGUAAAGCUCUUCACAGCACUAAGCCCAGAGUUACUGAGUGAUACUAUUUAUUAAGUGAUAAAUAAUGGAACUGGAACAAGGGAGCACAUGGAAACUGAGACAUAGAUUUCCAUACGUUUUCUGCAUUGCAUCUACCUGUCAGGCACAUAUUCAAGCAUCCAAAAUUGAUCCUCAUUAACUACUAGAAAAUGCACAUGGACAUCCAUAAACAUGAAGCCAUCUGUAGCUAAUUUUUCAAAUCUAUUAGCCAGUGCAGAUGAAUAUGUAUUACUGAUGGUAUCAGUACUGGUUUUAUG
rnacentral:lncRNA from 1 species